GAAUUGACGGGGGCCCGCACACGCGGUGGAGCAUGGGGUUUAAUUAGAUGCAUCGUGAAGAACAUUACUUGGUCUUGACAUCCACGGAACUUUUCAGAGAUGGAUAGGUGCCUUCGGGAACUGUGAGACAGGUGCUGCAUGGCUGUCGUCAGCUCGUGUUGUGAAAUGUUGGGUUAAGUCCCGCAACGAGCGCAACCCUUACCCUUUGUUUCCAGCGGUCCGGCCGGGAACUCAAAGGAGACUGCCAGUGAUAAACUGGAGGAAGGUGGGGAUGACGUCAAGUCAUCAUGGCCCUUACGACCAGGGCUACACACGUGCUACAAUGGCACAUACAAAGAGAA
rnacentral:rRNA from 1 species